AGCAGAGUGGCGCAGCGGAAGCGUGCUGGGCCCAUAACCCAGAAGUCAAUAGAUCGAAACCAUCCUCUGCUA
rnacentral:tRNA from 1 species